UGGGGAAUCUUGCGCAAUGGGGGAAACCCUGACGCAGCGACGCCGCGUGCGGGAUGAAGGCCUUCGGGUUGUAAACCGCUUUCAGCAGGGACGAGGCCUUAUGGUGACGGUACCUGCAGAAGAAGCUCCGGCUAAAUACGUGCCAGCAGCCGCGGUAAUACGUAUGGAGCAAGCGUUAUCCGGAUUCAUUGGGCGUAAAGCGCUCGUAGGCGGUCUGUUAGGUCGGCAAGUUAAAUCCGGGGGCUCAACCCCCGUCCGCUUCCGAUACCGGCAGACUUGAGUUUGGUAGGGGAAGGUGGAAUUCCUAGUGUGGCGGUGGAAUGCGCAGAUAUUAGGAGGAAUACCGGUGGCGAAGGCGACUUUCUGGCCAUAUACUGACGCUGAGGUACGAAAGCGUGGGUAGCAAACAGG
rnacentral:rRNA from 1 species